rnacentral:rRNA from 1 species
CGGACGUCGACCGGCGCACGGGUGAGUAACGCGUAUCCAACCUUCCCGUUACUGCGGGAUAACCUGCCGAAAGGCAGACUAAUACCGCAUGUUCUUCGAUGACGGCAUCAGAUUCGAAGCAAAGAUCCGUCGGUAACGGAGGGGGAUGCGUCUGAUUAGCUUGUUGGCGGGGUAACGGCCCACCAAGGCGACGAUCAGUAGGGGUUCUGAGAGGAAGGUCCCCCACAUUGGAACUGAGACACGGUCCAAACUCCUACGGGAGGCAGCAGCA